GACAGAGGGUGCAAACGUUUGUUCGGAUUUACUGGGCGUAAAGCGCGUGUAGGCGGCUUGGCAAGUCGGAUGUGAAAGCCCACGGCUCAACCGUGGAAGCGCAUCCGAAACGGCCUCGCUCGAGUCUCGGAGAGGAAGGUGGAAUGCUUGGUGUAGAGGUGAAAUUCGUAGAUAUCAAGCAGAACACCUGCGGCGAAGGCGGCCUUCUGGACGAUGACUGACGCUGAGACGCGAAAGCGUGGGGAGCAAACAGG
rnacentral:rRNA from 1 species